GCUGGGUGUGGUGGCACACACCUGUAGUCCCAGCUACUCAGGAGGCUGAGGUGGGAGGAUCACCUGAGCCCAGGAGGUCGAGGCUGCAGUGAGCCAUGAUUGCACCACUGCGCUCUAGCCUGGGUGACAGAGUGAGACCCUGUCUCAA
rnacentral:SRP_RNA from 1 species